rnacentral:lncRNA from 1 species
CGAUAUCUUUGUAACGGCUUGACGGAUUGCCAAACCGUCGCUUCCAACGCGUUCAGUGACCUAUCAAUUAGGUUUAUAUACAACCAAUUUAGAUCAAACCCAUCUAUUCGCAAAAAUAGCAUUUUGAGCCCUAGAUUUGCUACUAUGCAAAAAUCCACCAUUAAACCCUUGGAUCUAAGCAUAAUCCAUCUCAUUAGCAUCUAGGAAGGCUACUAAACCCAUUUCUAAAGCAUUUAAAUCACACCCUAGAGAUCUACCAUUGAAGGGGUUAGCAAGCUUACCUCUUAAGCUAGCACAACGGAGAGGAGAAGAUGAGAAGAUGAAGCUCCACCUUGUUUGCUUCCUUCUUCACCAUCUUCUUCUUCUUCUUCCUCCUCUUCUUCUUCUCUUCUCCUCUUUCUUCUUCUCUUUCUUUUCUUUCUAGAGAGAGAGAGGGAGAGUUUUAGGGUGAGAGGGAAGAGAGAAAAGACCCUUCUCUCUCUUCUAUACACUCACAUGAGUGCAAAAUUGCAUAAAAACCCCUCAACAAUGCAUCUCUCGCAACAGCCCAAAAUGGGCAUUUUCGCGCUCGGGGACCGGUCCUUGCGGUGAGAGACCGGUCCCUGAGAGACCGGUCCUUGGCUGAGAGACCGGUCCCCGAAGGUCCAGAACUCAGCCUCAAGGACUUAGCCAAAUUUCAGCCUUUUUCACCGUUUCUUCUCCGUUUUCGCCCGUUUUCGCUCGUUUGACUUCCGAUUCGUCUCAAAUCGAACCGAGACUCUUCAAACAUGUUUCCAAACAUGUUUUCAUCAUCUUUCCAUCCUCGCUAAUGCCGGAUUUAGCUCACGGCCCAACAUGGCCUUUCGGCUCCGUUUUAGCGCCUACGCGCACCGAAACGCCCGAAUGCUUCCGGGCCUC